CGGGGACAGGGACGGGGACACCCACCGGGGUCCUCCGAGCCCCCCGCCCCCGCUGUGUGUUGUCCCCCCUUCCCCUCCCCGCAGCUGCACAUCGCGGCGGCCAACGGCUACGUGGAGGCGGCCGAGCUGCUGCUGCGGCACGAGGCCAGCACCAGCGCCAGGGACGAGGACGGGUGGCAGCCGCUGCACGCCGCCGCCUGCUGGGGACAGAUCCCGCUGGUGGAGCUGCUGGUGGCGCACGGCGCCGACCUCGGCGGGAAGUCGGCGAUGGACGAGACGCCGCUGGGUGAGCGCGGCGCGGGGCCGCGGGGGUCACGGGGGGGCAUGGGGACAAUGGGGACCAGGGGGACCAUGGGGGCUAUGGAGACCGAGGGGACCUUGGGGACCGUGGGGGCCACGGGGCCUGUAGGGAACAGAGGGACCAGGGGGGGCAUGGGGACAACGGGGUCCGCUGGGGACAGCAGGGACCGUGGGGGUCUACGGGGACCGUGGGGGUCUACGGGGACCAUAAGGACCAUGGGGUUCAUAGGGUCCAUUGGGGUCUAUGGGGACCAUGGGGGGUCUGUGGGGACAAUGAGGACUGCGGGGCUCGUAGGGACUGCGGGGGUUUAUGGGGACAAUGAGGACCGUGGGGGUCUGUGGGGACCGUGGGGGUUAUGGGGAUAUUGGGGGCCACUGGGGACAACAGGGACCAUGGGGAGCCACAAGGACCAUGGGGGCCAUUGGGGACAGCAGGGACCACGUGGGUCAUAGGGACCAUAGGGUCUUUGGGGACCAUAAGGACCUUGGGGUCUAUGGGGACCGUGGGGGUCUAUGGGGACCAUAAGGACCAUGGGGGUCUGUGGGGACCAUGGGGGUCUGUGGGAACAAUGGGAACCAUGGGGGUCAUAGGGACCAUGGGGCCUACGGGGACCUGGGGGACCAUGAGGACCAUGGGGACCAUGGGGUUCAUAGGGUCCAUGGGGUCUGUGGGGACCUUGGGGAGAGCAAAGAGCAUGGGGGCCAUGGGGACCAUAGGGUCUGUGGAGACCGAGGGGACGAUGGGGGGGACAGUGGGGGCCAUGGGGUCUACGGGGACUGUGGGGACGUUGAGGACCUUGGGGACAGCAAAGAUUUUGGGGCCAUAGGCACCAUGAGGUCUAUGGAGACCGAGGGGAUCGUUGGGGAGGACCAUGGAGGCCACAAGGAGCAUGGGGACUGUGGGGACUGUAGGGACUAUGGGGACCCUGGGGACACUGGGGACCACCGGGACCAUGGGGGGGGGCACCGGGACCAUGGGUGGGGCCACCAGGGCCAUGGGAGGGCCACCAGGACCGCGGGGCCUAUGGAGACCGAGGGGACCACGAGGCCCGCAGGGGCCAAGGCGGACCACGGGGACCCUUCCCCUUCUCC
rnacentral:lncRNA from 1 species